GUCGAACGAGUUCUCGUUGAUGAUCGGUGCUUGCACCGAGAUUCAACAUGGAACGAGUGGCGGACGGGUGAGUAACACGUGGGUAACCUGCCCUUAAGUGGGGGAUAACAUUUGGAAACAGAUGCUAAUACCGCAUAGAUCCAAGAACCGCAUGGUUCUUGGCUGAAAGAUGGCGUAAGCUAUCGCUUUUGGAUGGACCCGCGGCGUAUUAGCUAGUUGGUGAGGUAAUGGCUCGCCAAGGCGAUGAUACGUAGCCGAACUGAGAGGUUGAUCGGCCACAUUGGGACUGAGACACGGCCCAAACUCCUACGGGAGGCAGCAGUAGGGAAUCUUCCACAAUGGACGCAAGUCUGAUGGAGCAACGCCGCGUGAGUGAAGAAGGCUUUCGGGUCGUAAAACUCUGUUGUUGGAGAAGAAUGGUCGGCAGAGUAACUGUUGCCGGCGUGACGGUAUCCAACCAGAAAGCCACGGCUAACUACGUGCCAGCAGCCGCGGUAAUACGUAGGUGGCAAGCGUUAUCCGGAUUUAUUGGGCGUAAAGCGAGCGCAGGCGGUUUUUUAAGUCUGAUGUGAAAGCCCUCGGCUUAACCGAGGAAGCGCAUCGGAAACUGGGAAACUUGAGUGCAGAAGAGGACAGUGGAACUCCAUGUGUAGCGGUGAAAUGCGUAGAUAUAUGGAAGAACACCAGUGGCGAAGGCGGCUGUCUGG
rnacentral:rRNA from 1 species